rnacentral:rRNA from 1 species
UGUGGCCAUAUUAUACCAUACCCAGUAGUUGUGCCAUCGUGGACUGCAAUCUCCUUAGCUUUCAUAAACUAAUCAGGAUCAAGCUUGAUCAGUAUUUGGAUGGGAGACUCCCAAAGAAAACCCAGUCUUGGCUAUCC